rnacentral:pre_miRNA from 1 species
GGUACUUGGAGGGAGGUUGUCCGUGGUGAGUUCGCAUUAUUUAAUGAUGCCCAAUACACGGUCGAUCUCUUUUCGGUAUC